UGACCAAAUCACCCUAUGGUGGACUUGGAGCUGGCCGUCUGGCCUCUCUCAAAAUUAGUGGCGGUGCUCUUAAAGCUCUACGCGUAGUAAUUUUUCUCGCUAUAGGGUCUUACUAGUACUUGCCAACAACCCCAACUUUCUAA
rnacentral:misc_RNA from 1 species